rnacentral:piRNA from 1 species
GGAGAGGGUGUGGGGGGCGUGUGGGAUGUC